GAUGAACGCUAGCGGCAGGCUUAACACAUGCAAGUCGAGGGGUAUAGGUUUUCGGACCUAGAGACCGGCGCACGGGUGCGUAACGCGUAUGCAAUCUACCUUUUGCAGAGGGAUAGCCCAGAGAAAUUUGGAUUAAUACCUCAUAGUAUAUGGACUUCGCAUGGAGACCAUAUUAAAGUUCCAACGGCAAAAGAUGAGCAUGCGUCCCAUUAGCUAGAUGGUAAGGUAACGGCUUACCAUGGCUACGAUGGUAGGGGUCCUGAGAGGGAGAUCCCCACACUGGUACUGAGACACGGACCAGACUCCUACGGAGGCGAGCAGUGAGGAAUAUUGGA
rnacentral:rRNA from 1 species